rnacentral:rRNA from 1 species
ACGCUGGCGGCGUGCCUAAUACAUGCAAGUAGAACGCUGAAGAGAGGAGCUUGCUCUUCUUGGAUGAGUUGCGAACGGGUGAGUAACGCGUAGGUAACCUGCCAUGUAGCGGGGGAUAACUAUUGGAAACGAUAGCUAAUACCGCAUAACAAUGGAUGACACAUGUCAUUUAUUUGAAAGGGGCAAUUGCUCCACUACAAGAUGGACCUGCGUUGUAUUAGCUAGUAGGUGAGGUAACGGCUCACCUAGGCGACGAUACAUAGCCGACCUGAGAGGGUGAUCGGCCACACUGGGACUGAGACACGGCCCAGACUCCUACGGGAGGCAGCAGUAGGGAAUCUUCGGCAAUGGGGGCAACCCUGACCGAGCAACGCCGCGUGAGUGAAGAAGGUUUUCGGAUUGUAAAGCUUUGUUGUAAGUCAAGAACGAGUGUGAGAGUGGAAAGUUCACACUGUGACGGUAGCUUACCAGAAAGGGACGGCUAACUACGUGCCAGCAGCCGCGGUAAUACGUAGGUCCCGAGCGUUGUCCGGAUUUAUUGGGCGUAAAGCGAGCGCAGGCGGUUUGAUAAGUCUGAAGUUAAAGGCUGUGGCUCAACCACAGUUCGCUUUGGAAACUGUCAAACUUGAGUGCAGAAGGGGAGAGUGGAAUUCCAUGUGUAGCGGUGAAAUGCGUAGAUAUAUGGAGGAACACCGGUGGCGAAAGCGGCUCUCUGGUCUGUAACUGACGCUGAGGCUCGAAAGCGUGGGGAGCGAACAGGAUUAGAUACCCUGGUAGUCCACGCCGUAAACGAUGAGUGCUAGGUGUUGGAUCCUUUCCGGGAUUCAGUGCCGCAGCUAACGCAUUAAGCACUCCGCCUGGGGAGUACGACCGCAAGGUUGAAACUCAAAGGAAUUGACGGGGGCCCGCACAAGCGGUGGAGCAU